rnacentral:rRNA from 1 species
CCCUAUCCCCCCUGUGUGCCCUUUGCCUCCCCACGACCUAAAUUUCGCGGCCGCGUCGACAUCAUCGAAACGGUUUACCGACCCGCAUCAACGAUCACAGCCCUUUGACCCCGCAAUUACUUCGCUUGUGGCGCCACAUCCGGCAGGCCCCGCAUGACGGGCGUUGCCCUAUGCACUCGGAGAGUUCGCGCGUUUAAAAGAGACCAAAUACCGCAUACGAUCUACGGAUGAAAGCAGGGGACCGCAAGGCCUUGCGCUCAUGGAGCGGCCGAUGGCAGAUUAGGUAGUUGGUGGGAUAAAAGCUUACCAAGCCCGACGAUCUGUAGCUGGUCCUGAGAGGACGACCAGCCACACUGGGACUGAGACACGGCCCAGACUCCUACGGGAGGCAGCAGUGGGGAAUUUUGGACAAUGGGCGAAAGCCUGAUCCAGCCAUGCCGCGUGCAGGAUUAAGGCCUUCGGGUUGUAAACUGCUUUUGUACGGAACGUCGACGCGGCCG